rnacentral:rRNA from 1 species
GAUGAACGCUGGCGGCGUGCCUAAUACAUGCAAGUCGAGCGAACAGACGAGGAGCUUGCUCCUCUGACGUUAGCGGCGGACGGGUGAGUAACACGUGGAUAACCUACCUAUAAGACUGGGAUAACUUCGGGAAACCGGAGCUAAUACCGGAUAAUAUAUUGAACCGCAUGGUUCAAUAGUGAAAGACGGUUUUGCUGUCACUUAUAGAUGGAUCCGCGCCGCAUUAGCUAGUUGGUAAGGUAACGGCUUACCAAGGCAACGAUGCGUAGCCGACCUGAGAGGGUGAUCGGCCACACUGGAACUGAGACACGGUCCAGACUCCUACGGGAGGCAGCAGUAGGGAAUCUUCCGCAAUGGGCGAAAGCCUGACGGAGCAACGCCGCGUGAGUGAUGAAGGUCUUCGGAUCGUGAAACUCUGUUAUUAGGGAAGAACAAAUGUGUAAGUAACUAUGCACGUCUUGACGGUACCUGAUCAGAAAGCCACGGCUAACUACGUG